GACAGAGGUGCCGAGCGUUAGGCGGAAUCACUGGGCUUAAAGCGUGUGUAGGCGGGCCGUUAAGUGCCCCGUGAAAUCCCCCGGCUCAACCGGGGAACGGCGGGGCAUACUGGCGGCCUUGAGCCACUUAAGGGCAGACGGAACAAGCGGUGGAGCGGUGAAAUGCGUAGAUAUCGGGAGGAACACCUGUGGCGAAAGCGGCUCUCUGGACCACAACUGACGCUGAGGCGCGAAAGCUAGGGGAGCAAACAGG
rnacentral:rRNA from 1 species